rnacentral:rRNA from 1 species
UACGGUAGGGGGCUAGCGUUGUCCGGAAUCAUUGGGCGUAAAGCGCGUGUAGGCGGUUCGGUAAGUCCGCUGUGAAAGUCGGGGGCUCAACCCUCGGAAGCCGGUGGAUACUGUCGAGCUAGAGUACGGAAGAGGCGAGUGGAAUUCCUGGUGUAGCGGUGAAAUGCGCAGAUAUCAGGAGGAACACCUAUAGCGAAGGCAGCUUGCUGGGACGUUACUGACGCUAAGGCGAAAGCGUGGGGAGCGAACGAG